rnacentral:rRNA from 1 species
CAGUCGCCACGGUAAUACGUAGGGUGCGAGCGUUAAUCGGAAUUAUUGGGCGUAAAGGGCUCGCAGGCGGUUUCCUAAGUCUGAUGUGAAAGCCCCCGGCUCAACCGGGGAGGGUCAUUGGAAACUGGGAAACUUGAGUGCAGAAGAGGAGAGCGGAAUUCCAUGUGUAGCGGUGAAAUGCGUAGAUAUAUGGAGGAACACCAGUGGCGAAGGCGGCUCUCUGGUCUGUAACUGACGCUGAGGCUCGAAAGCGUGGGGAGCAAACAGGAUUAGAUACCCCCGUAGUCCCUGUCUCUUAUAC